GCUUACGGCCAUACCAGCCUGGGUACGCCCGAUCUCGUCUGAUCUCGGAAGCUAAGCAGGGUCGGGCCUGGUUAGUACUUGGAUGGGAGACCGCCUGGGAAUACCAGGUGCUGUAAGGA
rnacentral:rRNA from 1 species